CAGCAGCCACGGGAAUACGUAGGGUGCGAGCGUUAAUCGGAAUUACUGGGCGUAAAGCGUGCGCAGGCGGUUGUGUAAGACAGGUGUGAAAUCCCCGGGCUUAACCUGGGAACUGCGCUUGUGACUGCACAGCUAGAGUAUGGCAGAGGGGGGUGGAAUUCCACGUGUAGCAGUGAAAUGCGUAGAGAUGUGGAGGAAUACCGAUGGCGAAGGCAGCCCCCUGGGCCAAUACUGACGCUCAUGCACGAAAGCGUGGGGAGCAAACAGGAUUAGAUACCCGGGUAGUCCCUGUCUCUUAUAC
rnacentral:rRNA from 1 species